CUUGUUUAUUUCAAGUUGACUAAAUGUUCAUCAGAACAGAACAUUGAGAAAACACAUCGGAACAGUUCUUUUCAUGCACCACAUUCAGAAGGCCCUUUUCAAAGCAUCAAAUGUGGCCUGUGGUUCCUAGAUUGAAUUCACUUCACAAAGAUUCCCUGUAACAAAUGUUGCCAAAAGUUAAGAGGCAAAAUCAGCAGGAAUAAGUAAUCCCACAGCCUUAAGAAGGACCUUCUAAACCAUGGGAAAAAAAAAACAGCAAUAAGUGCUAAACUUUGAAUAAAAGAGCCAUAAAUGAGUCUGGAAGCCUCAUUUACAUUGUAAUGUGCAUACCAGCAUGAUGUCAUUAUCAAUUAGAGUGAGCAUUCUCUAACAACC
rnacentral:lncRNA from 1 species